rnacentral:lncRNA from 1 species
GAUUAGAAGCUAAAAUCAUGCCUGAAACAUUCAUUUAUUUGUAAAGAUUUUAACUUUUGGAGAAAAUGGGUGAUGGGUGAUUCUUCUUCUCAGAUGGGGCUAUGGAGAUUAUGACUGAAUUCUUCAAAACAGAAACAAAAGGUCAUUAUGGUGAGAUUACAAUUAUACCCUUUUAGUAGAAAUUCAAUCUUGACCAUCAAUCUAAAGAAUAUUCUUAUAUUCCAAGAUUCGGCGGUGGUAAAUGAUAGUCCAUGGGUGAACAAAAAAAAAAGUUGUCCACCCUAGUGGGCACCUAUAAUUUCUCUCUUUGUAGUUGUACCAAAAAAAUUGUAUAAUUUUCGUGCGCAUACAAGUUGAAGUUAUUGCAUACCGAUUGGUAAAAGGGGGAAAGCACAGAGCAACUCUUCCAGCUUCUGCCUUGUUCUCUCGGAGGACAGAAAUCAGAAAUCUGUCACGGUUUAUCUCUUCUCUUCAUCUCUCAGUUUCAAUUUACUUUCCUCCGAUCACAUAUUCGAUUUCGAUUGAUAAUAAUACUCCAAUUUCUCAAUUGUUUGAUUGUUUUCCCCAAUUCAAAAUUCACUCACCCCUCUUUGCUUUGCUAGGUUUUUGUUGAAUCGAUUCCGAAUUCGGAUCGAGGAACACGAUUUUGAUUAAUAGUUGUGUGCUUCAUUGAUUUGGCAUCUGAAACUGAAACCUGCGAUUGCGAUUGUGUGUUUUGAUCUCAUCUCAGAUGGCGUUGCAAGAAAAGCUUGACAGGUUCAAAAGGCAGCAAGAGAAGUGUCAAUCGACCCUCACCAGCAUUGCAUCUACCAAGGCUUCUGCUACACAAAAUGGCCGAAGAACACCGACACCAACACCACCCGCUCCUGUUCCUGUCAAAUUCUCCAACGAUACUGAGAGACUUCAGCAUAUUAACAGUAUACGUAAAGCCCCCGUUGGAGCUCAGAUGAAGCGUGUUAUUGCUCUCCUAUUUGAGGUACACUUUUAAUGUAUUCACACAUUUGAGCAUUUGAGACAUUUCGAGCUUAUUUAGUUCAUUUUGUAGUAUAUAAGCUUCGAUAAGCUCCAAUAAGUUCGUAUCGUAAACGGGCUCUUAGCAGUAACAGUCAUUAGGUUAUAAUUCAUAGUAGCUAAAUUUAAGAAUCAGAUAACUGGUUAGGACUUAGGAGAAUUUAAUUCAUAGUAACCCUUAUACAUGAUGUAUAGUUGUAUGAAUAUAUGCUUUUCUGUUAGCCGUAUGUAAGCUAUUUUGUGGUUAAUGAAUGAUCAUUUCGAAUGCGGGUUAAUGUGCACCUUCUUUUAGCCAAUCUCUGCCAUCUUUUAAGGUUGAUGGAUACAUUCAUGUUGCCAUGGAUACUUAUUUAGUGUCUUGUGCUUGUCUUUGCUUAACAGUCUCGACAGGCUUUCACAAUGGAGCAAAUAAAUGAAGCAUGCUAUGUGGACAUGAGAGCUAACAAAGAUGUUUUUGACAGUAUGAGGAAAAACCCGAAAGUCAAAUUUGAUGGGGAGAAAUUCUCUUACAAGGUAGCUUUUGUUCAUGCAUAUAUGUAAACCUUCAUGUGUUCAAUUUUGUUCACUUUGAUAAUAACAACCUCUUCAAUGAUACUACUAUUUUGGUUAUGACAUUUGGCAUUGCUUUUGGUGUGUAUAGUCAAAGCAUGAUCUUAGGGACAAAAAAGAGCUGCUCUUUCUGAUACGCAAGUUUCCAGAGGGCAUUGCUGUUAUUGACCUAAAGGAUUCUUACCCAACUGUGUUGGAGGACUUGCAGGUAAAUUAUUUUUAUUAGUUAGUUUUGUUUAUGAAAAUUUCUUGACAUUCAUUUUUUAAUAAUGUCAGUGGAAUUUUAUUGUGGAUUUGGCCUUGUUGAGCAACUAUUCUUGUCUCAGGUUUUUAUUCAUUCUCAUUGUGUAAUGAAUUUCUGGGCGAAACAUGAUUGCCAAAAUCACUCAUCACCAUACUUAUGAAAGAAGAUAAAAUCUUAGAAGAUCAUUUUAUCCCUUUUUCUCAAACUUAGGUAUCAAGAUUUCAUAAUAGCUGGUAGUGUGGAAAAUAAUUUUUUUAAGUUAUUACAAAAUCUGCACUUUAAGGUGGAUACCCUGAAUGCUGCUUAAUCUUUUGCUGGUACUGUCUCAAAUAAUGGAUCUGGAAUUCUGUGAUAACUAUGGAAGAUAGCUGGCUUUUGAAUGUGAUUACUGAAGGAUUUUGGUUGUGUACCAGAUAUUUACCAUUUUAGAGUAGCAUUCCAUUUUGUAGAAUAGAACUAUCAAAAUUUACUUCUUUUGAGUCAUUUCUUUUACUCUGCUGAUUAGAGUUUUACAUGAUACAUAUAAACGUCAACUAUUAUGGUAUGUUGUAUUAAACAUGCAAAGAAGAAUAGAACUAUAUGAUAAAUUUGAUCUUAAGCAUCUAACUUGCUGUGGUGAGAGAUAAUGUUUUUGAAGAGGUGAAGAGUUAAAAUUUUGUGAAAUAAUUGGUUUCUCAUGUAAUAAGACCUUAUAAUGCUUUCGGUUCCCAGGCUUUGAAAGCUGCAAGGGAGAUUUGGCUGCUGUCCAACUUUGAUUCCCAGGAAGACAUUGCCUACCCUAAUGAUCCUAAAGUUCCCAUUAAGGUGGAUGAUGACCUAAAACAGCUUUUCCGGGGGAUUGAAUUGCCUCGUGAUAUGAUUGAUAUUGAGAGGGAUCUCCAAAAAAACGGAAUGAAGCCUGCUACUAACACAGCAAAGAGAAGGAGUGCAGCGCAAAUGCAAGGCAUUUCUUCCAAGCCUAAACCUAAGAAGAAGAAGAAUGAAAUCACCAAGAGGACCAAGCUGACUAAUGCCCAUCUUCCAGAGCUUUUUCAGAACUUAAAAGAUUCUUGACUUAAGAUCCAUAGCAACUAAGUCAGUGAAUUCCCAAAGAUCAUUUAUUGUCGCAAAAUAUAUCAUGUAUUCAGAUGGAUAUGUGUUUUUACUGUAUGAGCAAACUGCUUCUUGUAUUUUAUGUACCCAAUUAGGCGAGGGGAAAUAAUAUUUAAGAGUGGAAGGCACAAUGCAAAGUCAAGGCAUUCCUUCUAGUUUCUACAAACAAGAUUCUAAAGCAAAAAGGCAAAGGUGUUUGUAACCCAUCUCCUGGUGGGUUUUCUAAACUCAUACAUAUUGUUUAACCAAGGACAGAAAAUGGCGGAACAAGUUGGCAAACUUGAUCAUUUAGCAGAGUGUGUAAAUAUUGAGGAGAUUCUCAUUCAUAUGUCCUGCUCAUGGCAACAAUGUUCUAUAUACUUUUUUAAUAUGUUAAGGCUGCAUAGUUCCUCUUUUGGGGUUUUAUGACUCAGCCUUAUGGGAUGUUGUGAUUUAUUGCUACUUUCAUUAUUUCAUAUACAUAUAUGGUGUAAAAUGCAUAUUACAUUCCCUAAAGUUUUACCUAUUUACACCUUUAGUGCCAAAUGCCUGUGUUGUGAUCAUUCAGUUUCAUUGGUGUUUGAUAUUAUGUGGUGUCCUCAAUUUUGUAUUUACGUUCAAUUUUUUCCUACUCUCUUAGCUUUGUUGUUUACAGAAAUUACAAAAUUCAUUACCAUGGUGUCCGAGAAGCCCAAUAGAUAUACGAUAUCUCUCAUUUCCUCUCCAAGUUUCAAAAGUUGUGUGCAUACAGGUUCCUUUUAACCCUUUAGCCACAGCUUCCCACUAAGUAUAUUUGCACACUGGCAUUGGCCAAAACAAAGGGAAAUGGAAUUGACGAAUUCUUAUUUGUGUGAAUAUCAAUCAAGCAAAAAACAUAUAGCUUAAGAAACAAAUGACCAAUCCAAUGGUUCAUUUCAAACAUUACAUGUAGCAAACACUCUGGAGCACAUUUUAAAUGUAAAACCACUUUAAUCAGUCCAAUGCGUCCUUUAUUUAGCUGAGGUUGAAAACACUUAGGCGCUAAAGCAUGCAAAAAGCUUCUUUGGCGCGACUCCACGGCUACGGAACUUUGCAGCUGUUUCUUCAACCUCAAGAAACUCUUCCUUUUUAUUCGCCUCAACGGUUGCCCUUUUCUCCUCUGCUGCCUGGUGAAUUUCAGCUAUUUUGUUCUUCAUUUUUUCAGCAUACUCAGCCUUCUUUCUUUCUAAGUUUUCCUGUUAAAACAAAUAUUUUUUUCAAGUAACCAAUGGGUCAAAUAACUGUCCGUUAAAAAAAUCAGUCACAUAGAUGCAUCAAUUAAGCACAAAUCGUUCAAUGAAAAAAUUAAACUAACACAAAUAAGAUUCAAUCUUUUACUAACAACAAAUGGUAGCUACUGAUACAAAACAUGACAUCUACACGCAGAAACCCAUUUAGUUAAUCACCUCAAUUUUCUUGAGUUCUGCCUCUAUAGAAGCUUUCCUGCUUUCCUCCCACAAUCCAACGGCAGAUUGCUUCUUGUAUGCCCUGCAUGGCCGUUUAACUCUCAUCAAAAUGAAUGAACUUACGAAGUAAACGUCAAAUAUAUGAAGUAAAAUAGAGUCUUAGAAUUGCAAAGCUUUGUAUUAUGAAUGGAACCAAAUAACUUCAAACUACAAGUCAAAAUGCUGAACCAACAUAUUCUAAAGUGAAGAGGAGUCUUAUGAAUUUCCAUAAUGCUAAUCUAGAAGUGUGAUUACUUUGGCAUACAAUGUCACUAUUUAGUAGUAGUUGUACAAAAUCAGUAGGUCAGUAGGCUAAUUCAUGAACUGACGAAAGAGUCCUAAUCUUAAAAUUGGUUAGCAAUAAGCAGGGUUAUGUUAGAUAUAUCAAAAACUGUUUCAUUCUUACAUCAUAUAUUAGGGAAGGCCUUAGAACAUGAAUGAUCUAGAUAAGAAACUAAGAAAGUCAAGAUUUAACAAACUAUCAAAUGGUCACUUGCCUGUUCUCUGCUUUUGUCUUUUCACUUUCUUCCCAUGCUUUAAUCAGAGCCAAUCUUUUCUCUGUUACAACUCUUGCAAGCGCAGCAUCUGUUGAACAAUGUGAAAAAAGUUACUUACCUCUUAAACCCUCAAUAACUUUAUACUAAUUUUUUAGAAAAUAACCUCUGUCAACUGAGUCCCCUGUAACUUUUUUAGCAUCAUCAUCAGCAACAUCUGUAUGAAAACAUAAUCGGUUGAAUGAAUACAAGUAACAUAAACAUCCAAAUUCAUCCAUAGAAAAUCCACUUAUGUUGUUUAGAAGGUCAAUUUGUGUAUCAGUUUUGUGCCAAAUGGACAAAGAAUCUACUUGAAGUCUUGAAACAACAGGAAGCCCAACUUAGUGGCUGGAUGAAUAUAUUUUGAAGCAGAACAUAUAUUUUUAGUAGCUUCUGAGUUCAGACCCUUUUUUAAUUUAAAAAAACUAUUAAAUAGUAUUUCUCUUAAAAUAAGUUUUCACAAACAUACACUCUGUUGCUCCAUAAAGCAGUUUUAUUCACAAAACGCCUAACAAAAAAUAUUACACUUGCCUCAGCACAAAUUCAUAUCUUGUCAAAUCUUUUGAAUUUAUUAUUUACACACUACAACAACUCCAAAACCAUAUCCAGUAGAACAUCCUGAGUUCCUUCCUGUCUAGAAUUCAAUUAGCUUCUUAAAUUCUUAGCAAUUUUCUACUUUACUAUGCUACCAAAAAGAAAUAACGAAUCAUGAUUCCCUUUAAAGCAAUGAUUACUUGCCAUUCGUUGUGCGACAAACAGUACAAAAGACAUCUUGAAAUUGAUGUCAAUGCAUAAAGCAUUUAGUAUAUGUCAACCAAAAUAUGUGCCAAAAAAAAAAAACUCAAACAAGACUAAAUUAAAAUUGUAGAAGGUAGCAGAAAAGUGACUGAGGAACCUCAACCUCUGUUUUGUGAUGGGUGAACAUAAGCCAUGAAAUUUGUUCCAAAUAAUAAAAGAACUAUAUGUAAUGAAAACUGAUCAGAUAUGAAAAAAAGUAUACGCAGUGCAAUCAGUUUAGAUAUUAAUUCUGUGAAUGAAAUUUAUAACACACUUCAAAAUCAAACCAUAGUUUGAUUAAAAACAGAACACAAGUAAGAGAUGAAAUUAUGAAUUAUCUAGAUCAUAACUAUGAAGAGUGAGUUUCAGAAAAUCAUAAGAAUCAGGUUUUUUUUGCUUGCUAACAAACAAGAGAGUUUCUGAAAUUUACUUUGAACGAUUGGAGAAGGAACCUCCUUAUGAGGUUCCUCUUGGGUGACAGCUUCUGGUUUCUCUGAUUCCUUUUCUUCUACUUGGGGUUCCUGUUCAGAAACAGAGUCCACGAACUCUGUCUGUGAUUCGACUUUGUUCAAGUUGGAAUCUUCUUCUCCCAUGGCUACAAACACAGUGCAAGCAACAACCAACAAACUUGGGUGGCAAUUGGGUUCUGAUUCUGGUUCUGGCAGGUAUUGAUGAAUUGAAUAGGAUUGUUUAGUGUUAAGCUUUGAAUAUAUAGCAAACCAGAAAGCAACGAUAGUAUCAAGUUUCCCUUGUUGGAAGAAUUUGGAAAUAACAAGGUGGUGGUGGUGGUGACAGGGUGUCCUUGAGGAACAACGUUGGGUAAGUGGCGAAGUUUCACGUUAGACUAGAACAAUAUGUGCGGAUAUUCACGUCACGCCUUGUUAUGUUUAUAGUACCUAUGGUAUGUAUGAAUCUGCUUAUUGAAUAAGGAAGAAUGACACAAAAGGAAAGAAACUGAUUUCUAAACAUUAAUUAUUAUUACAUUGAUUUGUUUUCACUACAGCUAAAGCACAGCAUUUUUUGUUAGUUUUCCUUCACAUCUCAUUUUGUGCUCUUCCUUUUAUUUGACUGCUAAUAUUUUAAAUUUCAUUUAUUUCAUUUGUUUUUUUACUUUUGUCCCGAGUAAAGAUGUUUGAAACCUUGUGGAAGUUUAGUUUCUAUUGAUAAAUGAUUUUCACAAUGUUCGAACUUGUGAACUAAUCUUUACCGAGCUCUAACUUGUCAACCACUGAACAAACAAAUCAACACAUCCAUUCCAUCACCAUGUCUAAUUUUACAAUUCGACUAAUGACAUUUGAACAUGUUACUUAAAAACAUGAGUUGAUUGGCUACAUGAGUAUUUUUGGUAUAUUUAAAUUACAUGACAAUAUUUUAUUGAUGAGACAGGAAAACAUAAGUUGAGGAGAGAAUAUUAAAAAAAGAAACAUCGGUUUCUUGUUUUAUUUUAGUUAUUCACUGUAAUUCAUUUGAAUUAACCCUUUUAAUGUUAUUUACUCUAGAUCAAGUGGUUAGAAAAAGCAAUUUUUAUUAUUGGAAAAACAAAAAUUAACAUCUGAUAAAAAAUUAUUUGUGUAAUUGUACUUUAACAUUCUCUUUAUACAUUUUCUUCCCCUAUACUUAUUAGAUUAAUAAAUAGAAAAUGGUGAGAAAAAAAUAUAGGGUAAGCGUAAGAGUAAUGCGUGGGAGUAAAUGCUCUUAAAUGAGUUUCGACAGUACUAUACUACUAUUGUUGAUACUGAUACUUGCCUAAUAAGGGUGCGCUAGACUCAAUAUCUUAGAAGAGUUAAUCAUUAACUUCUGCUUCCUCCGGUCCUAUUUAUAAGCAUGAAAGAGAAGAAAAAUCUUGGUCCUUUUUAUAAGAACCAAAUGAAAGUUUGAGCUAUAUUAAUUAUUUUUUUCCAAUGAUGCCCUUAUUAAUUCUAACUUGUAAAAUGUGUCUCAUUAAUUAUUCUCUCUCUUUCUCACUUUCCAACACUAAUAACAAAGGGUAAUUUUGGAAGUUUAUUUUGAUUCAAGACAAAUUUAAUGCAUUUUAUCUAGUUUAACUACAUUUCUUAAACUAUGUGAAUUUUUUUUUUUUGCUUAUAAAUAGGACCGGAGGGAGUAAUAAACGAAAAUUAUUGGCACUAUUCUAUCUUUCACAUAUAUUGACAUAAUGACAUUGAAGAUUUAAGUGCAUGUUUGAUUUACAUGAAAACUACAAUCAAUGUUAAUCAAAAUGUGUUUGUGGAUUGAAAGGAACUUAGAUCUCUUAAAUAUGUUAUUUUGGAUUCAAUUGUUGAAUCCAUGCCCGUAACUAAGCACACUAUGAGAGAUUCACCCAUCAAGUGUGAGGGUACUCUAAGGAAACACUGUCAUUUUUUACACAAUCAUUUAAAUUAGAAUAUAGUAUCAAUUUUUUCAUGAUUAAAAUUGAAUUUAAAAAUAUUUCAAAUGAAAAUUGGAGAAAUGUGGUUUUUGUUGUGGUUAGAAGGUUGUGUUUUUCCGUGGAUGAUUGAAUAAAUUUGUUUAUAUUAUCCUCUGUAUUAACCUGUUUUUGGCAAGGUUUUUGGAUCUUGUUUCUUGGUUUAGUCAUCUACAUACCAUUUUAUAUCAAUAUAUUUAUAUUUAAAAAAAAUUAAAAGAUGUGAUUAAAUGUAUGUGGUAUAAAACAAUUUACAUGUGUCUCCAUACACUGCGUGAGGCGAAUCAAGUUACAGAUUGUUUGGCUAAUAUGGCUCACUCCCUCGAGUUGGGUACUCAUGUUCUUGAUGAUCCACUUCCUAGUUGUAGGGACUUGUUGUUUUUUUAUUUCACGGGUGUUGUUUGUUACGAAAUUGAAUAGGCUUGAUCGUGAUGAAAUCACUUUCCUUAAAGUAUUUCAAGCACUCUCUGAUUUCGUCUUAGAGUUUGUUUCAAGCACUCUCUGAUUUCGUCUUAGAGUUUGGAUGCAAGAAUACCCAGGAUAAUCAGCCUUGCUUCGAGUUUGCACAAGACUAAUGAAAACUCGAAAUGCAGCGAAGUGUUUUCUGGAAAAAACAGAGGAUAUGAUUGUGUAUUGAAUUCUGAACAUGCACUGUAUUUAUAAGCAAAAAAUAGAACAAUAUAGAAGGUUGCGACCCUUCAUAUAUUGUGUCUGUUACCAACAGAUAUGUCUGUUCCCAACAAUCGCAAAGUUCAAAUUCAAAACGAGCAAAAAACAAACGAAAACGGCAACCGCGUCUACAAGCCGCCACUAGCGCCUCUACGCCCACGGUGGCGACACCGGCGAGGGGUGGUGUGAAUGGAACAAGUGACAUAAAAGCUUGGGACCACCAAAUCAUGCACAUGUGACACUAUAUCCUCUCUUUGUCUCUUUGUUGAAUGGUUGACAUUUAAUGAUAUAUAAAUGCUUUGAAUAGUUACUCCACUUUCUAUGUGGGACUUCAUUCAAAUCCAUUCAAUGCAACACAUUUGUCAUUUUGGAACACUAUGUAAUUAUUACUCCUUGAGUAAUUAUUACAACAUUGUUUACCCGAGGUCGCGUCGUGUUUAGUCGGACUUAGUCCCUCCCAAUAAAUAAAUAAAAAAAACAAUUUACAUUAUCGUUGUCAUAUAUGAAUACCUAAUUUACAAUUAUAGCAUUUAACGAAUUAAUAUUUAACCCAGGUAGCUUAUGAUUCACACCAUAUUAUAGGUGGCUUCUAUGUUGCAUGGAUACGGGUACGGUACCGGUAUCGGGUACGGGUACGGGGUACGGCAUUUUUUGAAAAACUAGGGUACGGGUACGCCAGUUAUAUAUAUUUAUAUAAAUAUAUAUAUAUAUAUAUAUAAAUAGAAAUAAAAUGUUUUCUACCACAAUAUUAUUAAUUAAAAAUAUCAAAUCUCCUAAUGGUCAAUACUUAUAUGAAAAACCAACAUAAAAACCAUCACAACCUAAUGAAAAUCAUCAAAAGAAUAUGUAAUACCUUAACAUAUAUCUUCAAACACAUACCGUCAUAGAUAAUUUUAAGAUUGAAGAAACAUAACAUAAGAUUGAGUAACAUUGAAGAGACAUAACAUAAGAUUGUUCAACAUAGACAGUAACACAAAUUAAAAUAGUGCAAAAGAGACAAUACGAUUGUUCAACACAACAAAACAAUUAAACGAUAGAUUGUUCAACAACCAACAGUACAAAAUCAAAGCUCUCUCAAACAAUAAUGGUGUCAUCAUUCCCUUCUCCAUCAUCAGUGAACAAAAACAAGGUAGUUUUGAACAAUUUUUUUUUUAAAAAAAAACUAUCCGAAGUACCCAUGGGCGUACCCAAACCUACCCGUGGCGUACCCAAAAACGUACCCCAGUUUUUUUUUUUUUUGGGUGGACUUGGGUACGUACCUGCAGUGGCGGAUCCAGGACCCCCGGCCAGGGGGGUCAAAUUUUUCACAUGAACACAUCGAUAAAAAUAUAAUUAAAAACAAUUGUAAUAUGUUUAUACAUCAGAAAUUAUACAAAUCAUAGUUGUCCUCUACGCGAUUUCAUAUUCUGAAAUCGUUGAACAAUAAGCUUGAUCCACAUUGCUCACUUGAUGACCUUGCUCUCUUUAUUAAAAAUUUAUCCAUGACCUUCACAAGAUAGAGUAGACUUAAAUUAGAUUCAUACAUGAAGUUAUAUACAAAUCAUUCAUGACAAACUUGAGCAAUUUGAAAACAUUUUCAUUCAAAUUCCAAUCUCAAACCAAUUACUAAAUCAAACCAUUUAAAUCAAACCAAUUACUCUCAUGUAAAAUUGAAAAUAACUGGAAUGUUUUGUAAAAUUGAAAUCAAACCAAUUACCCUCAUGUAAAUCAAACCAAUUACUCUCAAUUCUCAAACCAAUUACUCCCAUUUUAAGCAAACUAGUGUAUCAGUGUAUGUAAAUUGUUUUUUUUUUUGGAUAAGCAAAUUAGUAUUAGAAUAGAGUACUCCUAGUACUCUAACCCAAAAAGUACAAGAAAUAUUUACAAAAGAUUGACAAGGAAAACCAACACUAGUAGACAAAAACCAGUGUUGGUAUAGCACUCCAAACCCAGUGUCAUUUACAGAACAAAGCAACACUGAAGGAAGUUCCCUGAUACCUAUUCCACCUUAACUCAAAUGAGAAACUCAUUGUCAUUUAACUCAUAGACUAACAGCAAGAGACUUAGCUUUCUUCUAGCUGUUUGCUGUCAAAAUGCAGCAAUAAAGAUCCCAAAACACAACCUGCAAUCUCACGCUUUCUCCAAUCAGACCAAGCACCAUGGGCCAUGAAUCACAAGGCAAAUAAAUUGUAAAACACAAUAUCAUCUAAAUAUCUAAUCAUCCCAUGACCGAAAGCUCCUGGUAGUGCUCCUUUUGCACAAUGACUAAUUGUCUAAUUCAACAAUUGACAAAUUGAUUUAAGCAAAUUCAACAAUUGACAACAUACUCUACUUUCAAACUCAGCAAAAGGGAAAGAAAAUCAAAAUAAUAGCAGUUAGGGUUUUCAAUUUGGGGUUUAGGUUUUCAAUUUGGGGUUUUUCAAUUUGGGGGUUUUCAAUUCCAACCAACCUUCAAGCUUCAACAGAGAGAGAGAGUGGGUGGUGGCGUUGUGCAGUGUGCGUCGGCAGCCGGUGGUGGUGGACUGGUGGCGUGGUGUCACUGGUGUGUGUUGUGCUUGAGAUUUGAGAAGUAGAACCAGAGACCAGAGAGUGACAGCGUGAGAGAGAGAAGGUAGUGAGCAGGGAAGGAUUGUGGUGGGCUGGUGGCCGGUGGCGUGGUGCGUCGGCGGGUGGUGGUGGACUGGAUCGGUGGUGGUCAAGAGAAGGAGAAGAGGUGUGACCGUGUGAAUCGACAGGAGGAGAAGAUUCGUGAGUGUGGUGAGAGAGAGACCGAGAGUGAGAAUGAGUGCGUGCGUGAGAGAAGGAGUGAGGCUGGGACUUGGGUGCAAUUUUUUAAUUGCAGGGGGUUCAAAAAAAAAUUACUAUAGGGGGGUAGGUAGGAAUUUUUUUUUUCAGGGGGUUCAACUGAACCCCCUGAACUGCACGUGGGUCCGCCCCUGCGUAUCUGGUACGUACCCACGGCGUACUCAUGGCGUACCGGGUACGUACCCGGUACGGUUACAAUGUGAUUUUUGGAGUACCCAUGCAUCAUAGGGUGGCUUGUUAUGUUUCACACCAUUUACUGGUACGCCUUAAUUAACUUCUUUCCCUUAUUAAUUAGGCUUAAAUAUGUUGGAGGUCCCUCUAAAAUAGGAGUCAUUUGGUUAAGGCCCCUACAAAGUUUUUUGGGUGGAAUACACCCCUAAUGUGAAAUUAAUAUAUAGUGAUAAGCCCCUGUCGUGAGGUUUUGUUUAAUUUCUGAUGAUUCUCCAAACGGGGCUGACGUGGAUUAUAUUUUGUGAAAAUUAUUCAAUUAAAGAGGGUGUCACGUAAGUAAAUUAAGGUUGAAAAAAUAAAAGUAAAAUAAAAAUCCAAAGUAAAAAUCUCAAGUACGUUUGGGAUUUUAGCUGACGUGGAUUAUAUUUUGUGAAAAUUAUUCAAUUAAAGAGGGUGUCACGUAAGUAAAUUAAGGUUGAAAAAAUAAAAAUAAAAUAAAAACCUAAAGUAAAAAACUCAAGUACGUUUGGGAUUUUACUUGGUUUUUUACUUUGGGUUUUUAUAUUUUAUAUUUUUUCAACCCUAAUUUACUUACAUAGCACCCUAAUAAUUUUCAAAAAAUAUAAUCCACGUCAGCAUCGUUUGCAGGAUCAUCAAAAAUUAAACGGAACCUCACGGUAGGGGCUUAUCACUAUAUAUAAUUUUCACAUUAGGGGCUUAUUCCCCCCAAAAAAAUUUGUAGGGGCCUUAACCAAAUGACCCCUAUUUUAGAGGGACCUCCAACAUAUUUAAGCCUAUUAAUUAUUAUCAAGACAGUACGAGAAUAUCAUUAAUUCAUGUUCUUACAUUAACAUUUUGUCACGUUUAUUGCUGCUUUGAGAAAGAAAAAAAAAAAUCUUACUUAAGUUAUAUUCCAUGCGAUACACUAGUGUGAGAGAAACUCUGCUUGCUCGCUUUAUUUAACUUUGAUUUUAAGACCAUAUAUAUCAUUCUGACUUUACUCAAACCAUGUUUGACACUCAAGUCUUAAUUACUUAGUGUGCUUCACAAGUUUUCCCAUUUUCAUUCAUUGUUUGGGAUCACACAUGUUAGCCUCUCAAUCGAUUCGUAUCAGUGGCGAUUUGAAUAUAUUAUCUCAUUAACUGAUUAAAGGUUGUUUCUGUUUUAAACGUCAAAAUAAUUAAUUUUUAAACAACUAGUUAUGUAAUUUGAAUGUAUGAAUAUUUAAUUUACUAUAUUUUUUUCUUUGAUGAUGUAUCUUCGCAACUGAUAAACGUGGGACCCAAAUAUUAGCACAUUAAACGACAAAAAACUGACAAAACAUUUUUUUAUAACCCACGGCCACACAUAUCAUAUGUGACAUAUGCAUAGUGCUGAAUUACUACAUCAAACUAUUGGCCAAUUGAAUGAGAACCAUAUUAAAAUUGAAAUACAAGAUGCAUGUUACUUUAACGGUAAGUAAACAAAACCCCAUAAAGUUAAUGACACAUGUUUAAAUUUGAGAAAAUCAUUUGUUCUAAAAGCAUUUUUAAUGAUGGCUUUUAUUUUAGGUUCUUAAGAUAAGAACCGCUUCUUAAAUUUUUCCAAUUGAAAAAGGCAGAUGAAGUUCUUUGUUCUUAAAAAUAAAGUUCGGAUGCUUUUGCGAAUAACUUUACUUUUUGAGCUCUUAUGUUAAAACGAAAUCUACAUCAAUCACUUAUAAAUUAUCCACACAUUAUGUGAUACUUUAGAUUCACAAAAAUAGUUUUAAAAACCUAAAUAAGAAUUCAUGAAUAGAGAUCCUCCAAACUAUAGCUUGAAUCUUGCUUUACUUGUGCUUGUCUUCAUUGAAGUUUAGUGUGUCAGUUUUUUGUUUUAUCCAAGUAAUAGCGGCCGCAGGCCUUAUGAAGGGUGUUUUUUUUUUGGCUAUGUAGUAUGCUAUUACCUUGUAUUUGUUUUGGGGCCAGGCCUUUAUCAACGAAGAAUUAUUGUUAAAACAAAACAAAAGACAAAACAAAACAUAUAUUGACAAAAAAACAAAACAAAACAUACAUUUACACUUUGUUUGGUAGAGGGAGGUUUAGAUAGAGAGAGAUAGAGAAGAGAGAGUUAGGGGGAAGUAUAUGUGUUUGGUAGGUGAGAGGAGGGAGAUAGAGGGGAGAAAAAGUGGUGGGUCCCACCACUUUUUUGGUCUCUCCAAAUUGAAGAGAGAUGAGUGAAGGCUUGAUUUACACUAUGUUUGGAGUCUCUCUCUUUUCUAUCUCUCCUCUUUAAAUCUACUCUAUUUUUCACCUAUUUCUCUCUACUCAACUUCUCUCUUUUCUACUCUCUCUUCUCUAUCUCUCUCUUCUCUACCAAACAGAGAGUUAGUGUGUGUUUAGUUAACUUUAAAAGUAGGUUAAAAAUGGUUAACACGUUUUUCUGUUUAUGACUUGAAUAUGAUUUCCCCCUACUGUGGUGCUAGAUACAAAGUUACAAACUAGAGAAUUGUUUAUUGUAGAGACGACUUUCUCACAUAUUUUUUAUAUUAAUAUUUAGUAAAUGAUAAUGAUGAGUUCACCGUCAUUUCACUUACAUUCAUGUGGUGAAUAGAGAAGAUAUUUUUUAGAGAAAUAAUAAUUAAUGUAAUAAAAGAAUUAGAGAUAUAUAGGAAAAAUGUGAGUGAAAAAUGAAAUUAAAGAAAAAGAAGGUACGAACUGAGUUUUAAAUUUCUUCUUCUAAAAUUCUAUAUAUCAAUUUCAAUUGAAAACCAAAAUGACUGUUAUGUUAAUUGGGUCACAAUCAAGAACUUUAUUUUAUUUUUUCCAUGUUCAAAAAAAAAGAACUUUAUUUUAUUUUUGUUUUAAUAUUUUUUACUAAACGUUAUUGCAAUAUGCAUCAAUCAGUUAUCAAAGAAAUUUCUUCUUUUUUACCAAAAUACUUUUCCAUAUUUUUUUUUUGUCAAGGACAUAAUAAACAGUUCCUCUAAUUAGGAGCUACUGGAUUUGCAGGCAGCAACCAGUUUAACCCAAAACAUGGGACCAACGCCCCUGGUUUUGCCUCCGUUAUUAAUACGCUCUUAAAUAUAUACUUCAAGGCUUCAAGCUCUUCCGUGUAACUUCACCUUCAGUCCUUCAAUUCACCUUCACUUUUAGGCCAUGGAUGUCUUCAUUCCAGAAGAUUACGUUACAAGGCGAAGGCUUGAGAAAAAGUUUGCAGCUUCCACAAAAGGCUCUCAAACUGCAGUUUCACAUUCACAUUCACAUUGGAGUAGCAAUAUUGCAAAUCAGAAGAAGGUUAAGGACAGGUCCUUCCCUCAUCCACAAGAGCCCCAUCACAAUACCUUUGUGGAUGAUCAUGUUUUUAUAUACUUAUCGGCUUAAUUAAUUUCUUAGCUCAGCACUUCUUCCUCAAUUCUACUCGCUGAUGUGGUAAAUGUCAAAUAUCUCUCCAGGAAUGUAGUUAUUAAGUAUUGAAUUUUCAUUUUAGGGGUUCAAAGAGUAACUUUUAGUUGUAGGCUUGUAGCAUCCCUUAGGUGAUGGCAAUUUGCUUAAUUUGUAGUAUGAAUUAAUAUUGGACAGUUUUUUGUGUGCUGGUAUUGUAUUAGGAAAAAAAAUUAGGUGCUUGCUGGUACCUUACUUCAAGUUAAGGUAUGGUACCCUAAAUGAGUUAGCAUAGUAAUAAAGACUCAUGUAUCACAUGAGUUAUCGAUUGUAUUUUCUUAAUAAUGUACUUUAAGAUUAAUGACGUGGUGUUAACCUUCUCUCUUGUUGAAAUCAUGUCACUCAAACUCAAUGUUAAGGUCUGCAAGGUCGUGGUGGACGUCAACAAAGGUCGUCAGGGAACAGUUGAGUUGCCUAAUGAAUGAGAAUACUAUUUGGGACUAGAAUUAUAACAUUGAGAAUUAUAAAUUCAAUUACAACAUGUCAUUAGUCUAAUGAAUUACCUAAUGUGGGUAUCACAAAAAAAAAAAAUUGCGAGUACGAUAGAAUUCACAAAAAAAAAAUUAAUGCUUGAAUGUAAAAGUAGUCUUAGCCUGUUACUUAAUUAACAAAUUAUUUGUCAAGUAAGUUACACCCUCUUUCAUUAAAUAAUUUAUGACAUUCCUUAUGUACAUCAUGAUGACAUCUUUAAUUUUUUUUUUUUGUUUUUAAAAAGGACGUACUUUUUAAAAAUAAACGUGUAUAAUUUAAAGGACGAGGUUUUCUGUUGGAGAAAAAAAAAAUUUAAAGGACGAGAUUCUGGGCCCUCGGUAGUCGGUAGUACGCUUAUUUUCAUCUUAGGCAGAAAUUUGUAGAUGGGCCUGGCUUCAACAUUUUGGAUAAAAAUAUCAGCCUUCUCAGAUACUAAAGAUGUUAAACAUUUUGGGCCUUGUUUAGACAAGAAAAUGUUUUGGGGCCUUGUCCACUUCACUCAUGGUCGGAUGCUAAAGCUUAAUGUCUUUUUUUUACUAGUAUCUAAUGUUUGUUCUUAUUAGACCAACAAAUAGCAAUGGUAUCUAAUGUGUGUUCAUUUUUAACUUAUACUUGUAUUCCUAUUUUCACUCUAAAAUUAACUUGGAUGUGUAUGGGGUACCCAUUGUUUCUCCAACCAAUGAACAAUAUUGAGCAGCCAAUAAGCGGAUUCUAGGUGAGUCCAUGGCCAGAAGAGGAAUGGUUAAUCAUAUGUAGUAAUAUGGUUAAUCUUAGGUACUAUAUGGUUAUCGUGACAAAGGUAAAUUAAUUAUGUGGUGAAUCAAUGAAGAAUGCAAAUAACUAAGUCAUAAGUUAUGAACAUCAUAAUUAUUUCAAGAGGUUAAUCAUUCUCUUUUUUAUUUAUGAUCCCAUUUGAAACUUAUCUCCCUGAUGUAUCUAGUACCAAUAUUUUUCUUUUGAAUCCACAGGUAGUUGGUCAAGACGUACAUAAUUAGUUAUCUUUAAGCAAUGUCUCAAGUUCAAAUCUAAUAUAUAAAAAAUGUGUUUAUUAAGAUAUGACUGUUCCUAAUUUAAACAAGGUUAUAGGAUGAAAUAAAAAAAAUUAUUGCGUCUGUCUCAUAUUUGUCAUCUUUUAAUUUGUGAUAAGUUAUAAAGAUCAAAGAGAAUGUGCAAGUAAAAAAAUUGAAAGAAAAGAAAAAGAUUAAAGAGGAUAAAGGGGUAGGGUUUCUUUCAUCACGUGAGACAUUACACUUUUAGGUGUCUGUCUCAUAUUUGUCUCUCAUGUCUGUCUUUUGCGCACACACCACACAAGCUCAAAUUGAAAGAAAUUAAAGUGAAGAAAAGCUAUCUAUUUUCCCUCAAUUAACUACUUCAUCUCUAGCUUGAUCCAUAAGCAAAGACAUUGUUUCAUAUGUCACUGUAGUCACGUUACUGAAAAGAGAUAAAGCUGCAAUAUCGAAAUUAAUCACGAGAUCAUUCACAAUGAUAAAAUCAUAAAAUCAAAGAAUCAGAGCUAGCCAGUUGACCACUUCCGAUCCAUGAUUGGGUAGAUAUUUGUUUGUUUCCUUGAUAAUGCCAUAACCCAAGUUAGCUAUGCCUAUAUAUGCCAAUUACUUUUUUUUUUCUUUUAUCAUUGUGUUUUCAAGUUGAUCUACAUAUAUAAGAUUAGCAAAUUAAGUGGCAAUAUUUGAACUAUUGAGUACAUUACAUGUUAAUAUAGAUGGAAAACAGGGGAAGCAGCUUGGAUAUCAAACUAAUUACACUUAAAAAACUUGGAAAUUAAAUUGAAGCAGCUAACCAUGUAAUUGUAUUUGUAAUUAAGUCAUAAGUACCAAUAUUGAAGAGGGCAUGAACACAAUAAGAAGUUAUUAACCCAAUUUGGCAGAUUUUCUGCAAUUUUGCUCAAAUUCAUAUCUGGGAAAGUCUUUAUCAUUGUCAAAAUUUGUUCACAUGUCCAGUUAGCUCUUAUGUAGCUAUGCAGUUUGGUGGAAAUUAAACAGCAAAAAAUAAUACUCUAUAUCCUAAUUAAGCACUUCCCUUCAAUUACUUUGUUGAUUCUUUCUAAAGAUCAGCAGACAAUAAUAAGCCUAAAAAGUUAUCCUUUUUAAUUUGAUUGAGUUAAAUGCUAUUAAGAGUUACUUCUCUACCAACCAUUACAAUUGCAAACCAGUGGAAUUUUCUUUUAAAGUUCAAAAGUGGAAAUCAUGAUGAACAAAGCGAAUCAAGGUUCACCCCACUUGAAAAUUGCAAUGGGACCAACUAUCCAGUAUGAUGCUAUGCAAAAUAACAUCAUUAUAAGCUAGAAUCAACAUCAUGGUUCCCAUUUUUGUCUCAUGAAGAUUAUUAACAUAAGUUUCCAACCACCAAGUCACUUUUAAUCUUGAUCAUAAUCUUUUUUCAUGGCCACUUAGUGAUUUAGGUUUAAUCAACAGAUGAUAACGAUAAUAUAGUACAAGAGUAUUUCGAUUUAACUAGGCUUAAAUACUCUAGGGGUCCCUGAAAUUGUACCUCGUAUCAAAAUAAGUCCCUGAAAUUUUUUUUUCCGAUUCCGGAUCCCUGGAAUUGUUUUUUUAAUCAGAAUAAGUCCCUACGCCGGAGAAGACGGUGGUUGACGACGGCGGUCAUGGCGGCGCUACGACCAGGGUGUUGGGCCGGCUUCGUCUCGUCCUCAGGAACUCAGUGGUGGUGGUCUCGUGGGCUGGGUCGUCACAGUUGAAGAGAAAAGGCCAGUCGCAAGUUGAUUUCUUCUCGCCGGAAUUUAUGGAGCUUCUCGGUUUCUUCGUUUUAGCUUUGUUUCUUGCGAUUUCUUCGCCCAGAUCAGAUAUAUGAAGGUCUAGGAGUGUUUUAAACAUGUUAUUUCAUGGUUUGUGGAAACAAUGAGGAGGCAACCACUGUCUUCUCCGGCGUAGGGACUUAUUUUGAUCAAACAAAUUUUUCUAGGGACCCAGAAUCGGAAAUUUUUUUUUCAGGGACUUAUUUUGAUACGGGGUACAAUUUCAGGGACCUACAGAGUAUUUAAGCCAUU